rnacentral:tRNA from 6 species
GGGGGUGUAGCUUAGUCCGGUUUAAAGCAGUCGCCUGUCGAGCGAAAGAACGUGGGUUCAAAUCCCAUCAUCCCCG